rnacentral:rRNA from 1 species
GACGAACGCUGGCGGCGUGCCUAAUACAUGCAAGUAGAACGCUGAAGGAGGAGCUUGCUUCUCUGGAUGAGUUGCGAACGGGUGAGUAACGCGUAGGUAACCUGCCUGGUAGCGGGGGAUAACUAUUGGAAACGAUAGCUAAUACCGCAUAAUAGCAGUUGUUGCAUGAUAACUGUUUGAAAGGUGCAAUUGCACCACUACCAGAUGGACCUGCGUUGUAUUAGCUAGUUGGUGGGGUAACGGCUCACCAAGGCGACGAUACAUAGCCGACCUGAGAGGGUGAUCGGCCACACUGGGACUGAGACACGGCCCAUACUCCUACGGGAGGCAGCAGUAGGGAAUCUUCGGCAAUGGACGGAAGUCUGACCGAGCAACGCCGCGUGAGUGAAGAAGGUUUUCGGAUCGUAAAGCUCUGUUGUAAGAGAAGAACGAGUGUGAGAGUGGAAAGUUCACACUGUGACGGUAUCUUACCAGAAAGGGACGGCUAACUACGUG